GUCCACGCCGUAAACGAUGUCAACUAGCCGUUGGUCCUUUAUACAGGAUUAGUGGCGCAGCUAACGCAUUAAGUUGACCGCCUGGGGAGUACGGCCGCAAGGUUAAAACUCAAAUGAAUUGACGGGGGCCCCGCACAAGCGGUGGAGCAUGUGGUUUAAUUCGAUGCAACGCGAAGAACCUUACCUACCCUUGACAUCCAGAGAAUCUGUUAGAGAUAGUAGAGUGCCUUCGGGAACUCUGAGACAGGUGCUGCAUGGCUGUCGU
rnacentral:rRNA from 1 species